GACGAACGCUGGCGGCGUGCUUAACACAUGCAAGUCGAACGGAAAGGCCCUGCUUUUGUGGGGUGCUCGAGUGGCGAACGGGUGAGUAACACGUGAGUAACCUGCCCUUGACUUUGGGAUAACUUCAGGAAACUGGGGCUAAUACCGGAUAGGAGCUCCUGCUGCAUGGUGGGGGUUGGAAAGUUUCGGCGGUUGGGGAUGGACUCGCGGCUUAUCAGCUUGUUGGUGGGGUAGGGGCUUACCAAGGCUUUGACGGGUAGCCGGCCUGUGUGGGUGACCGGCCACAUUGGGACUGAGAGACGGCCCAGACUCCUACGGGAGGCAGCAGUGGGGAAUAUUGCACAAUGGGCGGAGGCCUGAUGCAGCAACGCCGCGUGCGGGAUGACGGCCUUCGGGUUGUAAACCGCUUUCGCCUGUGACGAAGCGUGAGUGACGGUAAUGGGUAAAGAAGCACCGGCUAACUACGUG
rnacentral:rRNA from 1 species